CGUUGGGGAAUUCGAGCAUGUUGUUUAAUUCGAUAACCCACGACAAAUCUUACCACUUCUUGCAUAAUAUAUUACAAUGAUAUUCAUUAAUAAUAUUUAUAUAAUAAUUUUUAUUAUAUAAUUAUUAUUAUUUAUAUAUAUAUAAUAUAUAUUACAGGUGUUGCAUGGCUGUCUUUAGUUCGUGUUGUGAAAUGUUAGGUUCAUUCCGCUAACGAACGCAAUCCUUAUCUUUAAUUAAAAUCUUAAAGAAGUAUCUUUCGAUAAGAAAGAAUAAUUAGGAUGAAGACAAGUCCUCAUGACCCUUAUGAAGUGGGCUACAGACGUGCCACAAAGAUUUCUACAAUAGGAAGCAAAGAUCCAAGUCUGAGCGAAUCCUCAAAAGGAAUUUAAGUACGGAUAAGAAUCUGAAACUCGAUUCUUUGAAGAAUUCCCA
rnacentral:rRNA from 1 species